UGAGGCGUAGCACAAGGGCAGUGCAGCCGGCUGUUAACCGGAAGAUUGUAGGUUCGAAUCCUACCGCCUCAG
rnacentral:tRNA from 1 species